rnacentral:rRNA from 1 species
AGCAGCCGCGGUAAUUCCAGCUCCAAUAGCGUAUAUUAAAGUUGUUGCAGUUAAAAAGCUCGUAGUUGAAUUUCGAGACCGGCUUACUGGUCGUGCUAUUGUACGUACUGGUAUAAUCGGUUUCUCCUUUCUGACGAACUAUAAUGCCAUUAAUUUGGUGUUUUAGGGAAUCAGGACUGUUACUUUGAAAAAAUUAGAGUGUUUAAAGCAGGCUCACGCUUGAAUACAUUAGCAUGGAAUAACGGAAUAGGACGUUUGAUUCUAUUUUGUUGGUUUCUAGGAUCGACGUAAUGAUUAAUAGGGAUAGUUGGGGGCAUUAGUAUUCAAUUGUCAGAGGUGAAAAUUCUUGGAUUUAUUGAAGACUAACUACUGCGAAAGCAUUUGCCAAGGAUGUUUUCAUUAAUCAAGAACGAAAGUUAGGGGAUCGAGGACGAUCAGAUACCGUCGUAGUCUUAACCAUAAACUAUGCCGAUAGGGAUCGGAUGAAUGUUAAUUUUUAAUGUACUCAUUAGGCGCCUUA